UACGAAGGGGGCUAGCGUUGCUCGGAAUGACUGGCGUAAAGCGCACGUAGGCGGUCUUUUAAGUCGGGGGUGAAAUCCUGGAGCUCAACUCCAGAACUGCCUUCGAUACUGAAAGACUUAGAGCCCGGGAGAGGUGGAGUGGAACUGCGAGUGUAGAGGUGAAAUUCGUAGAUAUUCGCAAGAACACCAGUGGCGAAGGCGGCUCACUGGCCCGGUACUGACGC
rnacentral:rRNA from 1 species